rnacentral:lncRNA from 1 species
AUUUGAACUCACCUCGAAAUUAAGCAAGGUGUACACCUUAAAUACUUCAAUUUAAGCAUAUGUAAAGUUUUUAGGCUUUUACUUAGGUCUUCCAUUUAGAUCUAGUAUCUUAGGGUUUCAAAUUUAAAAUGGUUGAAUUUGAGUAUGAUAACUCUUUUGAGUAUUUUAGGAUUUAUAGUUUUCAGAAAGAAUUGGAGUUGAAUUGGUAUAGUUUGGUAAAAACAUUUCGAGGUCUCAGUUUCCUAUUCCACUGUCAAACCCCAUUAGCGUCCCCCGAAAAACGCCAAUGCAGCGUCCGAAACGCCUGACUUAGCCUUGAACAGAGAGUUUUCAAAACGCCUUAGGCUAAAGUCAGACAGAUCUUGGCCUUCUCCUUAGAAUAUUUAAAUGUUUACCAAGUUAUAAAAGGGUCUUUAUAGAUAUAAUGAGACUAGGCCCUGUUUAAGAAGGCAGUCGUGACCUAAAAUCUAGAAUAAGCUAAGAGUAGUCAAGACUUUUAUUAGUUAUUCGUCUAAUUCGAAGUAACUUAGUAAUUUUGACGAUUUCUUACCAUCAAUUGUAGUGACACGCGGGUUUUAGCACCUAACCAAGAGAACCCCGGUGAGUAACAUGAUGCAAUGAUAAAACUAUGUCUCCUUUCAAAAAUUGUUUUCAAUCUAUAUGAUGCCUAAGCAAAUAUUUUUCCUUCCAUGUUUUUAAUGCUAAAUGAUUAUGUUAUGCUAAAAAAUCCAUGUCUUGCAAGAAGUAUAAAUUGCUAUUAUUUAUGUAUAGAAAACCCUGGAUACAAUGUUUAAAACGAAUUAAAUGUCUAGCAUAAAUUACAUGAAAGCAAGGUAUGUUCAAGUUGUAUGCUGGUGAUACUCGGGUCCUUUCUGGGCGGGACUUUAAUUAAGCCAGAUAUUCCUCAAACGGAUGGGGGAACGUGAAAUAAGACCAUCCGGUACGAUAAGAGAUCCUGGCCUAAAGAGCCACCCAUAGCCUAUACGGCUGUAGUUAUGCUUGAGUAUUUACAACCCAACCGAUAUGUGCAUGAUUUUCCAAGAAGAUCUGAAAUGUUAUGCCUCACGGUAUGUUUUAUAUGAUAUGUCAAGCUAUGUUUACGUGAGGUUCAAGUUAAAGAAAUGAAAUUACAAUGUUUUUUAUUGCGAAUAUGAUAUGUCAUGAUAUGAAAACACUCCAUGGUAUUUUAUGGUUCAUGCAUUUAUGGUAUUCACAAGUUUUAUGCUUAACGUUUUCGAAACAUUUUCACAGGAAGUUACAGUGAAGACCAUAGGACGAGUGAAUCAUAGAUUGUAAGUUUUUGAUAGCCCGAGGGCUUGUAAUGUAUUUUGUGGCUAGACCCGAUUUAUUCUUUAAUUUGUAUAUUUCAGUUUGAGCCUGGAAUGUAUGUAAGUCCAAACUUAACAACAACUCUGUAUGUACGGUAUGGACCGUGCCACUUUAUUAUAUUUUUAGGUUAUGACGCUUCCGCAAAAGAAAAUUAAUUAUGGCAUUUUAAUGAGAAGGCACAAGGUUCAAGGCAAGUUGGCUUGGCAGAGCAACCAUCGGCCAUCCACGCGUCCCCACGAUCCGCAUAGGCCGGUUGCGGGGCGUGACAAUAAUCUAGACCUUUCACAAGAAUGUUUCAAGAGAUACAUGAAUUGAAGAAAAUAUAAAAAAUCUUAAAAUUACACAAGGAAUCAAAUCUCAAGAAGAAGCCGGUGAAGAAAGAUAUUCACUAUAAGUCGUUCUAACCCUAACUAAGACAAAGCAAGAUUAUGAAAAUUCAAACCCCCCAAUCUUCAAAAAAGAAUGGGUUUCGUUAGCAACCAUCCAACAAAUCUCAUUAUCGGCGAUCCAUCAAAUAGAGUGACUACUAAAAACUCGAUAAGAAAUAUGUGGAAAUCUUGCAUUUUAAUCGUCAAAUAAAGCCUAAGACUUUUCAUGAAGCUGAAUUUUGAUGAGCUUGGUUAUUAGCAAUUCAAGAAGAACUUAAUCAAUUUGAAAAAAUACAAACACUUGGACACUCGUCCUAGACAAAUAAUCACCUAUAAUAGAUACGAAAUGGGUAUUUAGAAACAAGCUGAUGAAUCCUAGAAUCAAUUGUUAUAAUAAAGCUAGACUUGUUGUACAAGGAUAUAGUCAGAAAAAGAAAUAGAUUUUGAUGAAUCAUUUUCCCCCGUAGCAAGAUUAGAAGUCAUCCAAAUGCUAAUGUUAUAUGAAUUUUAAACUUUAUCAAAUAGACAUUAAAAGUGCAUUCUUAAAUGUAUACACACUAAGAAGGUAUAUGUUGCACAACCUUAAGGAUUUGAGAAUCAUAAAUUCCCAAACCAUGUAUUCAAACUUUUAAACUAUGGAUUAAAAUAUGUACCAAGAGUUUGGUACGAAAGGCUAAGCAAAUUUCUAAAUGAAAAUGAUUUUGUUCGAGGAAAAAUGGAUAAUACCCUUUUUCCAUAAAGAUUAAAAAUAAUGACAUGUUCAUUGUGCAAAUAUAUGUAGAUAAUAUCAUAUUUGGUGCUACUAAUAAGGUUAUGUACAAGAAAUUUGCUAAGUGUAUGCAAAGUGAAUUCGAAAUGAGUAUGAUGGGCAAACUCAAUUCUUUCUCAGAUUACAAAUCAAGCAAUCAAGCGUGGGAACAUUCAUAAAUCAAGUACACAAAAGAGCCUUCUCUAAGGAUUCAUCAUGAUGGUAGCAAAGCCAUUAGCAAUGUUUAUGAGUACAUCUAUAAAGCUUGACAAGGAUGAAAAUGGUAAAAAUAUAGAUGAAAAGCUUUAUCGAUGUAUGAUUGACUCGCUACUCUAUUUACCAACAAGUAGGCCGGAUAUCAUGUUUAAUUGUAUGCAUAUGUGCUAAGAUGUUUAAUCAGUCCUAAGGAAUCACAUCUAACUGUCGUAAAAUGCCUAUUUUGGAUACCUUAUAGAGACACCAAUCUAGGUAUAUUUUAUCCAAGAGAGUUGCUUUUGCUCAAAGGGUACUCUGAUGCGGACUGUACGUGAUGUAAAGUAUAAUCGAAAAAGCACGUGCUACUUGUCAUUUUUAGGACAAUCCUUAGUAUCUUGGGUUUAGUCAUAACUAAAAAUUCAAUUGUUACUAUCAACUGCUAAGGCCGAUAAUGUGGCCGCCAAAAAUUGUUGUGAUCAAGUACUAUGAUAAAACACAAUGGGUAGUUAUGAUUUUAUAUUUUGGAUCAUAUUUCAUUCAAUCACUGUGAUAACACUAGUGGCGAUAAAUUUGUCCUAAGAUUCUAUACAACAUUUAAGAACAAAACACAUUGAGAUUCGAUAUCAUUUUCUAAAGAGAAUCACAUCCAAAAGGGGGAUUUAGCUUAUAUAUGUACCUACCGACAAGCAAUUGACAGCCAUUUUUACAAAACUCCUGAUGAAACAGAUUUAAAACUUUAUUCCGACGUGAACUAAGGUAUGUCCACAACUAAUGUGAAUAUUUUUGGAUUUUUAAAGAAGUUAUAAGACUAGAGUUAAGUUAGUCGUUGAGAAGGAAUAAGUCUAAAUUAUAAAUUAUUCCAUAGAAACUAUCUCCGAUAAAAAUAAAAAAAAGUUUAAAAACCUUAAAUUUCAAUUUAAAGAAGUAUAUGUGUCUAAACUUUUGUAUGUAAAUAAAUUGGCAAGAACGUGCUAAAAAGAUCUAUUAUGAAAUUCAAGUAAUUGUGUUAGAAUUCUAUCCUAACAGCAAAUAUAUGCAAUAGGAACUUGUAGACAAAAGGAAAAUGAGAAGUGGAGCAAAAAUAAAACAUAAGUCUUUACUGUCAAAUGUUCUGUAGAAUAUGUAGAAAGUUCGAUCAACCGAAGUCUCGACUGAUAGUUACAGAUAAUCAAAAGUCGCGACUGUUAGGGUUUGUUACUCAUAUUUAAUUAUCUCUCUCCUUUAUCUCUCUUAUUCUAAAAGACCCCUAAAUAUUUUUUCAAAACCCCUCAUAUUUAAAUAUUUUUUUAAAACUUGGGCUCUUCAUCCAUUCUACUUAAAUUAAACCUCUAAUUCCCUAGAGAGUUCGACUGACCAAAAUCUGAAGAUCAAUCAACCGAAAGACAACUUUGGAUGACCGAAGUAUCAACCGAAGUUAUAGAAAACGCGGUAGAAAGGGAAGGGACAGAGUUCUAAGUAUAUUCAAAUUCCUUUCAGAGUUUUAAGGUCACCAGUUACUUCUCUUUCUCUCUUUUCGAUCUAUAUCAAGCAUUUAUCUUUUUCUCAAUCUCUCAAAAUCCUAUCAUCAAACACAAACCUAGAUUAAGAAUCUCCCAAAAAUCAGUCAUUAUUCAUCCAAGAACUAAGUAAGCAUGAUGCCCAAGGUCAGUAUGCUAAGCGGUUUAACCACCUUUGGUGUUCAACUCACGAUAUUCAACAUGAGGAAUUCAAAAGACGUGGCUAUCAGAUUUCAAGGAAAGAACCAUCAUCGUCUGAAUGGAUUUUGAAGUCAAUUUUUUAUUGAAAUACUAAAAAAAAGAUGUUGGCACCGGUUGAAGCCUUAGGAUGGGAUGAACCACUCCCUCUUCCAACUAAUGUAUACUUCAAUCUGGUGAGAUUUUUCUACUGUAAUUUAGAAGAAGAAAUGGAAGACAACAUUGAAUCAACACUAAUAGACAAACGAAGUAAGAGAAAAUUAUAUUCCUUAAUCCACAAUUCAUUUGAGAUACGGGAAUUUCAAAUCUAGGGAAUCAUAUUCAUUCAAUAAGCCAAGCCAACUUGAAAAUCUUGCAAAGAAAAUGAAUGAAUGAGGUGAUCUCUACCACAGCUGGGAUCCUCACAAAUAAGACCUGAAAAAGGAAUUUAGGCUAUUACAAUCACUUCAAUCUCAUAUAAUGUAAUUCUCAAAAAUGGAUUUAUCAACCAAAUGACAACCCUGGCUAGUUUUAUCAUAUAUAAGAAUUUGUGCGAUUGAAGAACUUUGAAAUCUAAACUAACUAUUCUGAAUAGAUGGAGGAGUAAGAAAUCAGACAAGAUUGAGCAUACCUUUGGAGCCUCUCCUAAAUUAACGAUUUUCAACACACUUUAGAGUUAAGUUCACAGCAAAUCAACACAAUCAAUUUAUAAUAGAAAAAUGUUUUUCUGAGCACCUGAUAUGAGGGGGUAAGUAUUGACUCUUCCAAAGAAGAAGAGAAGAAUAAGAUGAAGGAGGAGAGGAGGAAAGUAGUCCAUCAUCCUAUGAAAAUAAAGUCAUUUUGUCACGAGAGCUUUACACCCGCACACCGAGGAGAUUUACAGGAACCAGUGCUUUAAGGUCAUCAAUUGCAAGAAGGGGCAUCCCUUGCCAAGAAGAGACAUCGCAAGAAAGGUUUUCACAUUGCAGAGAGGGGCCUCCAGCAUGGUUCCUUUUGAGUAUUUUAGAAACUAAAUGCUUACAAUGGAAAUGAAUAAAGUAUUGCCAGAGCAACAAGAAAAGUAAUUGAGCGGCUGGUGACUUCUAUGAUAAAGAUGUAUGAACAACAAGUGGACUCCAAUCACAAUAUAACGAUAAGGAUGACUAAUAACUGAGACUCAACUAGAGUAUAUUGGUUCACGGCCCUCCACCUCCACACCGUCCUAAUUUUCCUCCACCGCCUCCACCUCCAUCCUCCACCUUUGAUGCUUCUAGCUUCUUCAAAUCAACCUCCUCCGCUUCUUCCAUUUUGAUGAUGUUCCAAGAAAAAAUGGAAGCAAGCAGUAAUUUUUGAAGUUAGUAUAAAAUUCCUUAAGAUAUUUUUAUGUAUGAUGCUUAAAUUCAUAUAAGUUUGGGAGUUUUUGCUUGCAUGGAUAAUUAUUUUUAAACUUUUGAUAAUUUUGGAUAAGUAUUUUGAAUAUGUUGGUUUUUGUUAGCUUUGGAUAAUUUUUAUGCUAUGACUGUCAUGCUUCAAUUAAUGAUUAUAUGGUGUUUGGCAUAUCGUUCUAUCAAGGUUUGUGUGAAUCUUAUCCCCUAAACAUGAAACCCCGGAAAGUUUAAUAUAAGCAUGAAGAUAAAGGGGAGCAAUGAGUAAGGGGAGUAUUAAAGUUUUUAAAACAAAAAUAUCGAUUUUUUUCAAAACAAUUGUGUCAUCAUCAAUAUGGGAGAUGGUGAAAUAAAGACAUAUUUGAUUUGAUGAUGAUCUUGUUAACCUAAGCUAGAAUUAAAACUUAUAGUGAAAAUCAUAUUAAGGAAUGCCAACAAAUCAACAUGUGUUAAAUUACUAAAUUAACUCAAAAUGAACCUUACAGUUUGUUUAAGAUUAACAUGCAUUCAUAGAUUGCUAACACAUUUUAUAAUUGAAAGAUUCAUGUGACUAUUUAAUAUCCUUGAGAUAAACAAGAGUGCACUUAAACAAAGUCUACACAUGAUCAUAAUUGAAAUCCUGUAACUUUCUAUAAGUCAUAUUCAAAAUAAUUAUGCAAAUAAAAUUUGUAAAAGCGUCAAACCAACACUUAAACUCAUGUUGGAUAGUUAACGAUUUUGAUUUAUGAAGAAAACAGUAUAGCAACUUCAGAAUUUAUAAGGGAAAGCUCACAGGAAAGUUAGUAUAACAUCGACCAAAGUUGAAGUUCGAUCGAUCGAAGUGUCGACCGAAGUUUGAAAACUUUGAUCAUGCACGUCCAAAUCAUGAUCCAACUACUAAGAUUCAUUAGAAUGCUAGAUUAGAAGUAUUAAAUCACCGACUCUAUUUCACAUUUUGAGGUCUAAUUCAAUGCUGGUGUUGUUAAAGUAAAAUUUAAUCUCAUAAAAAUCAUAUACACUUAUAUUUAUAUACUUCCAAUCCCUUGAUUAUUCAUUGUGUGAGCUUGAUUUGUCCAGAUCAAAGAGAGUAGAUCACUUUAGAUAGAAAAAACUCAUUGUAUCAUCCUUUAUCUAGAGGGGGGGGGGGGGGGGGGGGGGGGGUAAGCUUUAAAUACUUCCACAACAAUUACUCCCUUUUUGAGAGAAUCACUAACUAUAAGUAAUUGUUAAAUUCUUAAGAGAUGGCUUCUCUCUUAAAAUGCUAAAAGUUUCUAGUGAUGUAAGAUUGUCCAGCACCCGCAAGCCUUAAAGAUAGUGAAUUUCCAAGGAGAAGUUUUGAGGUGGACAUAGGCCGACAUUUGCUGAAUCACUAAUAAAUUGUUUUCAACUCUUUUUUCUCCUCUUUUUUUAAUUGUUUAUAUACUUCUUAAGACUAAGAGUGCAUUAUUUAGUAAAUAAUCCUUUAACUAAAUUUUUUACUUGUCAUUAAUCAACCUAGCAAACCAUUUCACCCUCUCAUAGUUUGCAUUCUAGCUAAACAAUGGAUUUAUAUAACACAUGGGGUUAUUUUGUCCAAGAAAUUAAGAUUAUUCCUUUAGCUUUCAAGUCUAAACCCCUUUUUCCUUAUCCUAUUACUUGGGUGGGUAUCUAUUUUUAGGGAUUUGACUAGUUUAACCCCUUCCUUAAAUUAAAAUGGAUUGAUUUUAACUAAUUAUUUUUUUUUUGGCAUUUAUUAGCAUUUAUUGUAAUUAUAAAGUUUUACCGUAAGCAUUACCAAGGGUAGUUUUAGCAUAAAAAGAAAUGUUGGCCGGCUUUAAGAAUUUGUCUACACCAAAAUGUAUUGUGUUUUUUUAUUAUAAUAGUAUAAAUUUUUUCAUAAUAAAUCUCGAACUUAUCGUGCAUCUAGAAUAAUAAUAUUGAUAAGUGCUGAAAUCAAUGUAUAUUGGGCCACUAAUUUACCUUUAUUAUCUGUUAUUUUUUGCUUUUUAUUGGUUUGUUUUGAUUUAUAUUUUGCUUACAGGUUUUAUGGAAGAAAUCCUCAAAUUCAAAUCAAAUUGGCAAGAUUUGGGAUCAAAAUAAAGUGCACUUAGAAGUUCAGGGCAAAAAUCUGCAAUUUCCUACAUUGGAGCUAAAAUCUACACACUUGGAAAAGAAAGAAAGGAAAAGAAAGAAAGGAAAGAAAGAAAAUAAGGAAAGGAAAGAAAGAAAGAAAGGUAAGAAAAGAAAAGAAGAAAAGAUGGAAAGAAUAAAGAUAGAAAAGGGAUAUGGUUUUUGGGGCCAGAAGGAGAGAAAAAAAUAGAGAACUCGGGAGAGAAAGAGGCAGAGAGGUCUAGGAAAAAAGAAGAGGAUCAAAGAACUGAAGAUUGCGAAUUCAAGUUCUCUAUGAACUGCUAGGCGCUAUCUCCUUUGGUGAGAUAAACNNNNNNNNNNNNNNNNNNNNNNNNNNNNNNNNNNNNNNNNNNNNNNNNNNNNNNNNNNNNNNNNNNNNNNNNNNNNNNNNNNNNNNNNNNNNNNNNNNNNCAAACCGUUGACCGAAGUCUUGACCGAAAAGUGAAAAUUGCACUUUAGUCCCUGAACUUUCUGUUCUUUUCAAAUUGGUCCCUGAAGUUUGGAAUUGCAAUUUGGUCUCCUGAAGUUCUGAUCUAAAAAAAUCAAUUUUGGUCCCAGAGAGUCUGAAUUUUGACAGAAUCCCUUCCUAGUUUUCUCGGCAUUCGGAUGUCAUCCGCGAAGGUCGUUUUCAGAAAUUUUGCUUCCCAUUUUGGAGAAGUAAGAUGGCGGAGUAAUUUGAGAGCCCUAAUCAAGCUUUUCAGAUGCGGAUUAGGCCCGUGAAAACCGAGUAUGAAAGGACCAAACAGAAGAAGAUGUUCCAGAAAACCCAAUUGGGCAGAUCAGACAAUGCAUUUGACCCGAGGUGUUUCCAUCAUGUAGACGAUGAGACGAGAUGUUAUAGAUCAGAUAAUGCAUUGAACACAGUGGGUGUUCCACAUGUAGCACGAUGAGACGAGUGCUCAUGGUUGUGGGACCAAAUUUGGAGGAGAUGUACCGGGAGAAGACAUCUCAGCAACAAAAUCUUAUGAAAGGCUUGUGUUUUCAAGUUUCACGAGAGGCGACUACCUGUGGCGGAACAAACGAGCGAGUUCCAGAGAGCACAGGAAACAGGUCUAAGAGAAGAGCCCAGAGAAGACGCGUGAUUCUCAGGAAGGUCAAGAAAUGAGGCUAGCAGAAGAGGUCAAGGCAGAUGAUGGUGCGGAUGCAAUCCAGAGGUCGCAUUUUUAGUCCUUUUAUUGCGAUCCAGGAGGGACACAAGAAUUGUCCAAAGAACAAGCACAAGAUCGUCUUCAGAGGCAAGCAACAACACGCAAUGAUGGCUGUGCUAAGAGUGAUGUUCCUCCCUAGCAGGCAUCGGCAGAUUGAAGCAGUCAGAUUGGAUUUCUGAUUCGGAAUUGCUUACCACUUGUGCAGAGACCUAGGUGUUUCUCCUAAACCUUUAGCUGCGAGGGAAUUGUUCGGAUGGCUAACGAUGGCGAUUGUUGGCAAAGGCAGUCCGGUUCCGCAUGGCAGAACUAAGAUCCAUGAAGGUGACGGGGUAAGGCUGUUCAUUCCAUUGAGAUGCUACGAUCGAAGCAAUGAAGCUUUGAAGCCAUUGGAGGACACUCGAGUUUCCAAGGAAACUGGAGAAGCUGCAAGAUAGGAAGCAUGGAAGGCUAUCCGACUGAGGGAGAAUGUCCAGACAGGAGAGCUGCUGUCCCGACUAGGUCCAGUGGUAUUAAAGCAGAUGAAUGGACGAAGAAGCACUGUUGGCACAGAGGCACGCAAGCUACCGCAGGAAUACCAAAGGAUUGUACUUGAAGGAUCCAUCGAGUGUACAGGAGCGCAGGGACGAUGCUUGGCUGGAUACGGUGCGGAAGUCUGGGCCAGUACACGAGAAGUGUGCAACCCCAGUUCAGAGAUUCCUGAAGAGCUCAAUAGGAUAGAGACAGAGCGAUGCACAACGACAGCGCGACGUCGCCUCGGACAACAAGUCUCUUCACUCAGAAUCAUUGGCGGUGAUCUCUCUAGUCUUGUGCACACAAAGGAGGAGAGAUGGAGUCCCGACGCCUUGCAAGCGACGUACUUUGCAAAGCGCACCAUCAUCCAGGACCCGGUGGGGUCAGAUCAGUGGAGCACCUAGGUGGAGAAGGUGGAAGGCACACUUCACAGGUUUUGGAAUGCAAUCACUUCAGUGGAGUGGAGUUGCCCACGGAUGAGGGUAACGUAUCUCCAUACUGUCUUGUAGAUUCUUACGUUGGGAGCUGUGACAGAAGAGUUGAUCGGGAUGGAUAACUUGAAAAAAUCGAGUACCCUCCCAUGGGCCUGGGGGGGAAGAUUGCGUUGGGGUCAGCCCUAUUGAUAGGCCCAACCCAAGAUUAAAGUCCAGCCCAGAUGAAGAGGUAAUCACUAUGGGCCCAAGCCCAAUAGCCUAAGUCCCAGCCCAAAUUGACAGUCCAAGCCCAUGACCCAUGCUACUUCUUCUCUUCUUCCUUUCUAGACGCGAAGAGAAGAGGAGAAUGUAAAAGAAGAACAAAGAAGGAAGAGGAGAAGCUCUGAUAGCUUCUGUCAGAAGAAAGCUGCAAGAAGUCCAGAUGGGAGGCUCCUCCAUUGUCACAGAAGACGGUGGGCUGUAGGGCGUCAGCAUGAGCUCAGCGUCUCUUCUCUACUGCCUCUUAAAUAGCCAGAUGAUUGGCCAGAAGAGGAGAGCAUAGGGCGGAGCAAGAUGUAAUCUCUUUGGAGGAUUAUCCGGGUGCACACAGCAUGUUGCUGUGUGCAGAGAGGGGCUGGGAGAGAGGGCUGGUGGAGUGCUAUGGUGCUAGUGAGACCACCGAGAGCACAGGGGAUCUGACGAGAGUGGGCUAGAAUGUUGGCGGUGAGAUCUGAGAGAACCAGUAGAUGGUGAGAGAUGAGUAGAGUGCUGAGAGGUGAGUGAGAUGAGCUCCUCCCUAGUGUACUCAUUGUAAUUCAUUACGUGUAGUGCAUUAUUUGUUCCUCUCCGUGGAUGUAGGCAGAUUGGCCUAACCACGUAUAUCUGUGUCUGUGUGUGUGGUUGAAUAUGGUUAGAUGUGGUGCUGGUGUGCUAGUCCGCUGGCACAACACUUGGUAUCUUAAGCCAAGUCGAGUCAAACGGAAGAGUUACCGGAGCGAUUUCGGCGGCGAACGGAACACCGAUUUUUAUUUUCGAAUUCUGAACCAAAAUCCAGAAGUGCUCAAAAAAUGGCAAUUUGACAGCAUACCUACGCCAGAUUCGUCCUCGUCUGCAGCGAAGCCUCCAGCAGAGAACCAACCGCGUCAAAAUCGACUCCGACGAGCCCUCACAGCGCCGCCUGAAGUUCGGGCGGCGUCAGAUCCACGCGCGCCAGAGGAAGACGAACGAUGUCUUCCCCACGCGCCCCACGCGCCCCAACGAGGAUGGAGACUGCUGGCCUUCCAAACAAUGAUGAACAUAAAUGAUUACAAAGAAAAAAAGGAAAAGAAAAAAAAUAAAGUUUUUUAAAAGGAAUCAUUAUGUUGGGAAAUGAUGGUAUCAUUGUUGAAUAUUGUUUACCCUUCCUCCCCCAGCCUAGCCCACCCAGCCGUUGUUCCGUGCCAACUGAAGCUGUUGACUGGUCAAAACUGAAGCCGUUGACCAGUCAAACCCAAGCCGUUUGACAAGCCAGCCGUUGACGCGUCAACACGAGCCGUUGACCAUUAGCCUAUUUGCGCCGUCAGUCCCUUGAACCGUUGACUGGUCAACCCUUGACCAAGUUUUGACCGAAAGUGAAAAUAUUGCACUUUUAGUCCCUUACCUUUCUGGUAUUUUCAAUUUGGUCCCUGAGUUUGGAAAAUUGGCAAUUAGUCCCUGACGUCUCUGAUUUAUCAAUUUGGGGUCCCAAAGGCUGAGUUCUUGACAAAAGCCCUUUCUGAGUUUUUCUUCGGCAAUUUCGGAUUCCAUCCGCGAGCGUUUUCAGAAAUUUUGCUUCCAUAUUUUGGAGAAGUAGAUGCGGAGUCAUUUGAGAGCCCGAUCAAGCUUGUCAGAUACGGAUUACUCCCUGUGGAAAACCGAUGGAUGAAGGACACAGAAGAGAUGUUCCAGAAAACAAUUGGGCAGUAUCGACAAUGGCAUUGGACAAUCGAGGUGUUCCAUCAUGUAGAACGAUGGACAGCUGUCUAUAGAUCAUACCAAUAAGAUAAUGCAUGGAACACAGGGGUGUUCCAACAAUGUAGCACUAUGAAUCGCGUUCUCAUGGGUUGUGGAACGCAAAUUGGAGGAGAUGUACCCGCGGAGAAGACAUCUCAGACACAUCUUAUUGAGAAGGCUUGUUUGACAAGUACUUUCAGAGAGGGACUUACUUGGCGGAACAAACUAGCAGUUUCCAGAGAGCCAAGGAAGAGUCAAGAGAAGAGGCCAGAGAAGAGGUCUCAGGAGAGGUCGUCAGAACAUAGAGGGCUAGAGACUAAGAGGGGGAAAGGUCAGGCAGAUGAUGGCGGAUGGCAAUCAUGAGGUCGCUUUAAAGGGCUUUUAUUGGGGCGACCAGGAGGGACAAAAGGGAAGUGUCCAAAGAACUAGGCACAAGAUCUGCUUCAGAGGCCGAAACAAAAAGCCCAAUGAUGGCUUGUGGUAUGAGAGUGAUGCUUCUCCGAAAGACCGCUCAGGGGAGAUGAAGAGUCAGAUUGGAUUUCUGAUUCAGGAAUUGCUUACUCCUUGUGGCGGAGACAGAGGUGUUCUCUACACAUGUAGCAUGCGAGGAAUUUUUCGGAUGGCUAACGAUGCGAUUUGUUUUGCAGCGAGACAGUCCCGGUUCGCAUGGCAGAAGCGGAAAUCCAUGAAGGUGACGCGGGGUAAGGCAUGUUUCAUUGAGAUGCAGGAGUCGAGCAAGAUCCUUUGACGAGCCAUGGAAAGGAACAACUCAGAGUUUCCAAGGAAACCUGGCGACUGAACAUCUGGUCAGCGAGAAGGAAGACGGGAAGGUCUAUAACCGUGACUGAGGGGAGAAUUCCGACAGGAGAGUCUGCUGGUCCGACAUGGUCCAGUGGUAUUAGCAAGAUGAUGGGUCGAAAGAAAGCAACUGUUGCACAAGGGCAGCGCACAAGCUAGCGCAGAGGGUGUGAAUACCAGAGGAGUUGUACUUGACUGGGAUCCAGAGUGGUGUUACAAGGCAGAGCCAUGGGAGAUGCUUUGGGAUACGUGCGGAAGUCUGGCCAACACGAGAAGACACGCACCCUCAGUGCAGGAUAGUCAUGAAGAGCCAGCAGGCAGACGAGACAGAGUCGACUGCACACUACAGGCCGCGACGCGCCGGAACAAGUCUCUUUCACCUCAAGACAGUGGGCGUGAUCUCUCUAAGUUGUGCAACAAAAGAGGAGAGAUGGAGUCACACGACUUGCACCAAAGCGACGUACGUUGCAGCGCUAUCCCCCGGUGGGUAGGGAGCAAGAGCACCUAGGGGCGAAGCAUGAAGGCACUCAGGUUUGGAAAUGCAAUCACUUUCAGUGGAAGUGGAAGUUGCCACGGAUGUGGUACGUAUCUCCGGAUACUGUCUUUGUAGAUCUUCGGGGGAGCUGGACCAGAAGUUGUUGUCGGGAAUGGAUAACUUGUAAAAAAUCAGAGUACCCGCCAAUGGGCUGUGAGGUGGGAGAUUGUUUGGCGUCCCAGCCCAAUUGAAGGCCAACCCAAGAAUAAAGUCGCAGCCCGAUGAAUAGUAAUCACUAUUGGGGGCCCAGCCCCAAUAGCCUAAGCCCACCCAAUGGGAAGUACACAAGCCCAUACCAUGCUACUUCUCCUUCUAGACGGAAGAGAAGAGGAAAUGAAAAGUAAGACAAAAGAAGAGAGAGAAAUCUCGAUAGCUCUCUGUCAAAGACUGCCUGCGACAGAAGUCGCAGAUGGAGGCUCCUCCAUUGUCAAAGAAUAGGGCUGUAAUGAGCUCAGUCCAUGAGCUCAUCGUCCUCUUCUCUACUUCUCUACUGCCUAUAAAUACAGAGAUGGCCAGAAGAGGAGAGCCGAGGGCGGAGCAGAAUGUAAUCCUUGGAGGAUUUACGGUGUCACACAAAGCAUGUUGCUGUGGCAGAGAGUGGCUGGAGAUAGGGGCUGGGGGAGUGAUAAUGGUGCUAGUGAGAGCACCGAGCACAUGGGAUCCUGACAAGAGUGGCUAGAAUUGUGCUUUGAGAUCUGAGAUAGACAGUGAUAUGGUGAGAGAUGAGAGAGUGCUGAGAAGUUGAGUGGAGAUGACUCCUCACCUCUUGUACUCCAUUGUAUUCAUUCUGUGAUAGUGAAAUUAUUUUGUUCCUCUCCGUGGAUGUAGGCAGAUUGGGCCGAACCACGUAUAUCUGUGUACUUUGUGUGGUGUUGUUGAUAUGGUAGAUGUUCUGGUGACUAGUCCUUGGCAACAACAUAAGCCAUCCCAUUUUACCAUGUUCCAAGCAAGCUACAUUAGCUAACAUAAUUUGCAACAAGAUAACUAGUGCAAUAAAGUAUUCCUAGCGAAACAUACUUGCAUAGGUGUUAGAGUGUCAAGUGAGGCCUUGCCCGGUCACGGCACGGCACGGCACGGCAAUGGCACGAAAAAACUCGGCACACGGCUAAGUGGGGGGCACGACACCGACAUGGCAACGGUCUGAGCGGACACGGGUAGGGUCACGGGUCACGGAAAUGUGGAGACGGCAUGGGCACGGCACGAUAGUUGCUUAACACGGCACGGCAUGGCCGACACGAUCAAAACUCGGCACGGCACGGCACGACACGAUAGUGACUUGCGUUUGUACGGCCGGCAAGAACGACACAGACUUAGUCAAGCACGGAAUGGGAAUGGCACGAAUUUCUCAAGGGUACAUCACGGGUAUGGCACGACACGGAAUGGCAAAAAAUAAUUAAUAUUAAAAAAUAAAGAAAAUUUAAUAAAUAAAUUACUUUUGUGAAACGACUGCUAACCAUAAGCUUGUAGGCACUAAGCCUACAUUCCCAAAUUAUGAUUUCCAUAUAAAAGCGCCGUUUGGGUGGCAAAAUAUUUAUAACUUGGACAGUUCUUAUAGUUAUUUUUUAGUACAAAACUAUGUAAUUGGCUUUUAAUAAAACGGAAACGCAAAUAAAAUACGAUACGCCCGACACGAUUAGUAGACGGGCAUGACACGGUCGAGCACAUGACUAAGUAAGUAGACGGGUACAACACGAUAAGUAAGCGGGCGGGACGGGCCGGCACGACACGAUUAGGUAGACGGACAUGGCACGCAAGACAAGAGCCGACGAUAAGUUCGCGGGCCAGCACAGCAACGACACGAUUAAGUAAGCGGGCCGGCACGGCACGACACGAAUAAAGAAAAAUGGACGACACGACACG